UACGUAGGUGGAAAAUUAAGUCAGUAGUGAAAUCCUGCAGCUUAACUGUAGAACUGUUAUUGAUACUGGUUUUCUUGAAUAUAGUUGAGGUAGGCGGAAUGUGUAAUGUAGCGGUGAAAUGCUUAGAUAUUACACAGAACACCGAUUGCGAAGGCAGCUUACUAAGCUAUGAUUGACGCUGAGGUACGAAAGCGUGGGGAGCGAACAGGAUUAGAUACCCUGGUAGUCC
rnacentral:rRNA from 1 species